GUCUACAGCUACACCACCCUGAACGUGCCUGAUCUUGCCUGAUCUUGGAAGCUAAGCAGGAUUGGGCCUGGUUAGCACUUGGGUGGAAGAUUUAAUGUAGUGUCUGAAGGCC
rnacentral:rRNA from 1 species